CCCCGCGCUCCCCGGCGCCCCCAGCCCGCUGACCCCCGGCCAGGCAGGCCCGCGGGGGAGGCAGGACCGGAGCCCUGAGGCCCUGGCCGGCCUCGGGGUUGAGGCUCAGCUCGGGAUAAGUGAUCUUUGGGGCCCGCAGAGGACGUCUCCCCAAGACCCAGUGGCAACCGGGUGGCACGUACCUGCCUCUUCUUGGAGUAUGGACGAGUCGAACCGGGCACAAGCAUGGAGCUGCGGGUGAGUCCCGGCUGGCGCUGGCGCGGCGCAGUGAGCACCAGCUGACGAAGAGGGCUCCCCGGCCUCGGCUCCUGCCUGACUCUCUCCCACCUCCGCCGGGGGCCCAGAAGGGACCUCCCCGGGAAAUCGGCGCCACCCAGCGGGCAGCCGCCUCAUCGCGCCUGGGCCGGCAGAGCCACACCCCGCGUCUCGCGUCACUGAGUCGCGUCACGGCUAUUGGCUUGUUCCUACUGUGGCGUCAUUAGAGCCCGGCCUCCGGCUGGGGCCACCCAGGCAACCGAUAUACACAGAGAACCACGUGGAGGAAAAGCACGCGAGUUUGGAGCGGGUGGAGCAGGAACAGAGGUGGACUGGAAUGUCACACGACGGGGCAGCUGGAAGGGCACCACUGAGUUCAGUACUUCAAAAUUGCCGUGCUCUACCUCUCCCCAGUGCACAAAAACACUCUCCACACCAAGCUGCUGCUGCUGGGGGAUGGAGGGAUGGCGUCAGCGAUUCAAGACUGUUUUUCCUACCUGUUCAGCACUUCUUUCAGCGAUAUGAAGUUAAAUCCAGAUGUCGUCAUCAUCCACUUGUUCAAACAAGAGCCCAAGGAUCAUCCUAGAUUCCUUCUCACUUCCUCUCAAUCCAUCCCUGAAACAGCCAAACCACCAAGCAGCAAGAGGGAUCUUAUAAAAAUAUGACCAGAUCACAUCCUUCAACACUUCCCUGUUACCCUUACAAUAAAAUUCAAACUCUUCACCAUGACCUCCAAGGCUCCUAUUGAAUCCGGCUCUUGUCUGCCUCUUCAGUAACAUCAUGGACCACUCCUUACCAUUCCCUCCAUCUGGCUGUGCUUCCUGCAGCUCUUCCAAUGGCUGGCUUGUUCUCACCUUUGAAGUCUCAGCUCAAAGGACACUCCCUUGGGCUCUCCCUCAUCACCCUAACUAAUAGGUCACUUAAUAUUGUUAUUAUUUUUUAGAGACAAAGUCUCACUAUGUCACCCAGGCUUGCCUCAAACUCCUGGGCUCAAGCAAUUCUCCCACCUUGGCCUCUCAAAGUUCUAGGAUUACAGGCGUGAGCCACUAUGCCUGGCUAUGUCACUUAUUAUUCUUUAUUAUCUUCUAUAUAUAAAUGAUCCCAAUCUAUAAUUAUUUGAUUUAUUGAUUGGUUUACUUGCUUAAUAUCCAACUCCCAUACUAGAAUAUAAAUGUUAUAGAACAAGAGAUUGUCUGUACCAUCCACUGUUCUAGUCUCAUUACCCCACAUAAGGCCUGGCAUGGAGUGUGCACCUAAUAAAUGUUUGAAUAAA
rnacentral:lncRNA from 1 species